AGCUGGCCCCUGUUCUACCCUUCGCCUUCGAUUGCACAUCCUAGCAAAGCCACCGCAACGAUGAACAACUCAAUGCUCCUCGCUCAGCUGAUGCAAGACAUGCAGG
rnacentral:ribozyme from 1 species